GUUUCUCAGGGCUGAACAUCUGUGGUGGCAACCUGGCAGGGCAGCGAGCUGGCUUUCGAGGCCAUUUCUGCUUGACUCACCUGCAGAAGGAGGUGCAGCACCUUUCCAGCUUCCAGCUUCUGACAUGACUUGCAAUCUGCUACUGGCAACAAUCCCGUGCUUGAAGAAAGGAAAGGAAGAAAAUGCCAACCAACCCUUAUGAAAUUGCUGCUUCUUCUAUUACUACUGAUAGUAGUGUCUCCUUGAGUGAUCUGUUUUGUAACCUCACCUUAUACUUCAGCUCUUCAAGAUCUUCAUGUCAUGCUACCCUUCUCUCUGCUGAUGAGAGAACUGAGGUCUCCAGAGCCCACGGCAUGGAUCCCGUUUCUGCUGUAACUCUCCCUGCUCCCAAGGGAGGCUCAAGGCUGUCUCACAGCUCUGCUGGUCUGGGUAAGUAUCCAAAACAGAACUCCAAAAAUAGGAAGCAGGGACCUAAAACUGUUUAUUGUUGACUAAGAAAAUGAAUCUUGACGUUAACUAUUGAACCAGUGCCUACAAGAAACCUGGAGAGGGCCUUUGCACAAGGGCCAGUAGGGACAGGACAACGCGAAUGAUUUUAACCUGCCAGAGGGGAGAUUGAGAUGAGCUCUUAGGCAGAAGCUCUUCCCUGUGAAAAGUGAAUCAGUCCCUUUUCUAUGGGCUUAAGAUGAGAAUAAAAACUCUGUAUGGAAGAAGACCACUUUUUUUGCUAAUGAUGUAAGAUGCCAAGAGCCUGAGAUUCCACCUCUUCCAAUCACAGGCAGCCACCAAGCGCCACCAGGCAGCAGAGGUUUUAACUGUGAGGCAGCUAG